UUUAAUGAGAGUUUGAUCCUGGCUCAGGACGAACGCUGGCGGCGUGCCUAAUACAUGCAAGUAGAACGCUGAAGGAGGAGCUUGCUUCUCUGGAUGAGUUGCGAACGGGUGAGUAACGCGUAGGUAACCUGCCUGGUANCGGGGGAUAACU
rfam:Streptococcus pneumoniae 2070335 gspj15.contig.16, whole genome shotgun sequence.